rnacentral:ncRNA from 1 species
AAAGAGGCAUUGAAGGAGAGGAGUAAAAAGUUUUUCCUUAAAAGAGAGGAAGGCAUCUUUGGUGAAAGCCUUCUUAAGGAAAGCUUUUGAAGGUCGCUCCGGAGCUUUCCCGGCGAAAAAGUAGCCGGGAACGGAUAAAACCGUUAAUUUCAUGAGUGCCCGAAUAAAAUUUUUUUAUUCGGGAAUUAAGGUGGUACCGCGAAAAAAGCCUUUCGCCCUUUAU